GCAGAAGUGGCUUUGGUAGAGCGCAAGACACUUAAUCUCAGGGCCGUGGGUUCAAGCCCCAUGUUGGGCA